AUGGCUGCGGCGGCCGACCCCCCUCCUCCCCACUCCCCCCGCUCGGGGAGCCUCCUCAGCCGGAGGAGGCGACAACAAAGCGGCGGCGGCGGCGGCGGCAACGGCAGCGGCGGCUCCUCAACAUGGCAGCGCCGAGCGCGGCCACUUCCGGUAACCUCCGGGACGCACCACCGCGGCGGCGAGCGCGGGCGGGGGGGGAGCCCCGGCCCGGCCGCCGCCGCCCCCAGUCGCCCGGACCCCCUCUGGGCGUCCCCGCUGCCGGCUCGCCGCCUCGGAGCUCAGCCAGUGCCCGCUGGCGGUGGGGUCAGGGCCCCCGCGGGGGGGCUGGGGUGGGGCCCGGGGCGGGGAUGGGGCGCGGCGUCCCCCCCCGCGGGGGUGUGUGGUGCUGCGGUCCGUGGCUCAGGCAGCUGGAGCAGGGGGAGCUCAGGAGAGAAGAUGGAGGACGCCAGGGUCUGGCGCUGGCCCGCUGGGCACAGCUGGGCCGUCUCCCGUGACUCAGACACGGUGUCCAGCACCGUCGCGUCCCUGUUAGACCCUCAGCGGAGGGCACAGGCCACGGCGGACACUCGGCUCUUCAGUCGCUCAUGCACAGCAUGGUCCCCACCUCCAAACUGGGGGAAGCCCUUUCGACUUCGAGCCUCUCUUCCUUUUGGCAUUUCCUCCCCGGCCGGCUAAGCCCUCUGCGCUCUCGCUAUGAUAUGCAUCUCAUGGCGAGAUGGCCUUCCAACUCAAGCAGGGAAUCCCACUGGGGUGCAGCCUCAGAUCCUCUCAGUGUGGAGGGAAACACUUCCCACGCGUAGAGAUGUCAUUACUGGGUUAUUCUUGGGUGAAGGGCUGAGCCUCCCCAUCCUCCCCUUCACUCCAAGAUAGGAUGUGAAAUUCUAUCCCAACACCCCUCCUCUCCCGCCAAAAAUAAAAACAAGUGAGAUAGUAUAGACAAAUUAUUUUAGUCCUUUAGUACAGUCUGUUUCCUCCUUCACCCCCAGAACAAAAAUCGAACUUCUGGUUGGACAGCGUCAGAUGUCACUGAGGUGACCCCAGCCUGUUUGCAGUUCCAAGUCUUCCGUGUAGGCGUCACUGCUACUGGAACUUUGUAGAUGAGGAGCCUGUAUGAUGAUGUCCUGAACAUUUCUAUCCUUUCCUCACACAGAGGGAAGCUACUGGGAAUAUCAGAGACAAGCUAUUAUUAAACAAGUGUCUCUAGUCCAAGACAUCUCCUGUGGCAGGGAAAUGAGGGGGCAGGCUGUAUCAGUGAUAUUUUUAUAAACUCUGGUUUUAGAAAAAAUUCUUCAGAUGGACGCAUUAUUUUAAGACUUUAACAUUUUCCAAAACCAACUGAAUCUUAUCCCCUCCAUUUAUCCCCCUCCAGACACUUCUAAUCAAGGUCACCAUCUCCAACUUCCCCCAUAGACAAUAAAAAUAUGGCUGGAGAAUUCUACUGUAAUAGAAAACCAAGGAGAUAUAGUAAUUUGACAGUGUGUUUCCUUUCCAUCCACUAGACAAGAAUACCCCCUCCCAUUCUUUCCUCCCCUCAGUCACCAGAAUGAAGGGGCUGGAAAACGUUGGUCUGGUUCCUUUUAGAGCUGAUUCCCCAUUGGAUACUGCCUGGAGGCCUUGGGGAUGAAUGAGAAGUUCUGCAGUUUGGAUCAGUAGCAGAAGCAGGUAACACAUCAGGGAACCGGUCAGCCUAAGAUAGGAGGGGACAGAAAAUGAUGAAAGAGUUUCUGAUACAUUUAUCAGCUAAAUUGCUAUGGUCACCCCCAUGUCUCCUGUAAUGUCCAAACCUAAGGAAUUAACUAAGUAAACUAAAACCUUUGUGUUCUUGCUCUGACCUUGGACAAUGGAAUUCUUCUUAUUUUCAUUCAGUGGAUAGCAAAUCUGCUUCUUCCCUGCCUUAACUCACUCAAGGUCUCUGUGAUGCACUCCAGAGUUUUCCUCCUUCCCUGCAUAGUCUUCUCCUCCCUAGCUGCCUUUCAAAUUGGUGAAAAUGAAGCUUCAGGAUUAUGAAAACUAGUACUUAAUGAAGACCAUUAUUCUAAUGACAAUAUCGCUGGACUCUUGAACUUGUUAUGCUGGGAUCUAGAAACCCUUUCCCCAGCAAUCUUUCACACAGCACCUCUGGGAAGCGGUUUCCCACUAACAGGAAAUAGAGGUCAAGUGGAAACAGUCCAGUUCUCAUUACUGAAAAGCUAAGAUUCAGAAGAAUCACUUUUCUUGAGGAAAAUGGCUAAUUCUAUUUCUAUCCAUAAGACAAAAUCAGAAUUGAUUGCUCCUCAAACAUUCUUUAAAAAAAAAUUAACCUUUUAAGUUCAUGUAAAUUUUAAACACUGAGCUAUUUUCCAGAAGGAAAAUACUCAGAAGUUUGAAACAAGUACUCAAAAACAAUCGGUUCCAACUGUUAGAGGAAUAUAAUGAAACCAGUAUGAUCAAAUGCUCCAUCCUUACCUAGAAGGGGCUAUUUCUACUUUUAGGACAGAAAAUUUCUCUAACCAAACAAAAAGGAGCUCUCUCCUUAAGUGAGCUUCCACAGACUAUAUACUGGGGUCCAGUCAAAAGACAGAUGUCCAAAGACAGCAAAUUCAUCUAGAUUAUUGUAAACAAUUUUCGGUGAGUGAGUAAAUGGUAUUACCUUCAGCCAUGAUGAAUAAAGCAUCUAAGCCAAAAAUACAAUGUGCCUACAUCUACCCAAACAAAAGUCAGAUCCCCAACUUGCCCUGUUCAGGUUCCUCUCUCCUCCUCCCACACUCCAAGUUGUAUAACCUGUCACCUAACCUUUUAGGGUCUCAGCUUCCUCAUCUGGAAAAUUAGAACAAAAUAUCUACCUCACAAUGGUCACCUGUGGAUUUAAUGAGAAAUAUGUGUAAGAUGCUUAGAACAUUUUCCAGAUAUAUAACAGAUGUGAAAUAAAUAUUUUUAUUGGUGUUA